GACGAACGCUGGCGGCGUGCUUAACACAUGCAAGUCGAACGGGAAGAGAUGAAGAGCUUGCUCUUUAUCGAAUCCAGUGGCAAACGGGUGAGUAACACGUAAACAACCUGCCUUCAGGAUGGGGACAACAGACGGAAACGACUGCUAAUACCGAAUACGUUCCACGGGCCGCAUGACCUGUGGAAGAAAGGGUAGCCUCUACCUGUAAGCUAUCGCCUGAAGAGGGGUUUGCGUCUGAUUAGGCAGUUGGUGGGGUAACGGCCCACCAAACCAACGAUCAGUAGCCGGUCUGAGAGGAUGAACGGCCACACUGGAACUGAGACACGGUCCAGACUCCUACGGGAGGCAGCAGUGGGGAAUCUUCCGCAAUGGACGAAAGUCUGACGGAGCAACGCCGCGUGAGUGAAGACGGCCUUCGGGUUGUAAAGCUCUGUGAUCCGGGACGAAAGAGCCUGAGGUAAAUAGCCUAAGGAAGUGACGGUACCGGAAAAGCAAGCCACGGCUAACUACGUGCCAGCCGCCGCG
rnacentral:rRNA from 1 species